rnacentral:rRNA from 1 species
CUGACUGCUAUCGGAUGAUACUAAGCCAUGCGAGUCUUUGUAGUAAUACAAGGCAGACGGCUCAGUAACACGUAGUCAACCUACCCUAUGGACAAGAAUAAUCUCGGGAAACUGGGCAUAAUUCUUGAUAGAUCAUAAUGCCUGGAAUGGUUUAUGGUUAAAAUGAUUCGUCGCCAUAGGAUGGGACUGCGGCCUAUCAGCUUGUUGGUGAGGUAAUGGCCCACCAAGGCGAUUACAGGUACGGGCUCUGAGAGGAGAAGCCCGGAGAUGGGUACUGAGACACGGACCCAGGCCCUAUGGGGCGCAGCAGGCGAGAAAACUUUGCAAUGUGCGAAAGCACGACAAGGUUAAUCCGAGUGAUUUCUGCUAAAGAAAUCUUUUGCCAGUCAUAAAACCACUGGUGAAUAAGGGGUGGGCAAGUUCUGGUGUCAGCCGCCGCGGUAAAACCAGCACCUCAAGUGGUCAGGAUGAUUAUUGGGCCUAAAGCAUCCGUAGCCGGCUUUGUUAGUUUUCGGUUAAAUCCAUGUGCUCAACGCAUGGGCUGCCGAAAAUACUGCAUAGCUAGGGAGUGGGAGAGGUAGACGGUACUCAGUAGGAAGGGGUAAAAUCCUUUGAUCUAUUGAUGACCACCUGUGGCGAAGGCGGUCUACCAGAACACGUUCGACGGUGAGGGAUGAAAGCUGGGGGAGCAAACCGGAUUAGAUACCCGGGUAGUCCCAGCUGUAAACGAUGCAGACUCGAUGAUGCAUUGGCAUAAUAGCCAGUGCAGUGUCGCAGGGAAGCCGUUAAGUCUGCCGCCUGGGAAGUACGUACGCAAGUAUGAAACUUAAAGGAAUUGGCGGGGAGCACACAAGGGUGAAGCCUGCG